UACAGAGGGGGCAAGCGUUGUUCGGAAUUACUGGGCGUAAAGAGCGUGUAGGCGGCCCGGUAAGUCCGCUGUGAAAGUCGGGGGCUCAACCCUCGAAUGCCGGUGGAUACUGUCGGGCUAGAGUGCGGAAGAGGCGAGUGGAAUUCGUGGUGUAGCGGUGAAAUGACGGCAGAUAGUCAGGAGGAACACCAAUUGCGAAGGCAGCUCGCUGGGACGGUAACUGACGCGUGGAGGCGACGGAAAGCCAGGGGAGCAAACGGG
rnacentral:rRNA from 1 species